rnacentral:rRNA from 1 species
UACNUUCAGCAGUGAGGAAGGUUCAUACGUUAAUAGCGUAUGGAUUUGACGUUAGCUGCAGAAGAAGCACCGGCUAACUCCGUGCCAGCAGCCGCGGUAAUACGGAGGGUGCGAGCGUUAAUCGGAAUUACUGGGCGUAAAGCGCAUGCAGGUGGUUUGUUAAGUCAGAUGUGAAAGCCCGGGGCUCAACCUCGGAAUUGCAUUUGAAACUGGCAGACUAGAGUACUGUAGAGGGGGGGUAGAAUUUCAGGUGUAGCGGUGAAAUGCGUAGAGAUCUGAAGGAAUACCGGUGGCGAAGGCGGCCCCCUGGACAGAUACUGACACUCAGAUGCGAAAGCGUGGGGAGCAAACAGGAUUAGAUACCCUGGUAGUCCACGCCGUAAACGAUGUCUACUUGGAGGUUGUGGCCUUGAGCCGUGGCUUUCGGAGCUAACGCGUUAAGUAGACCGCCUGGGGAGUACGGUCGCAAGAUUAAAACUCAAAUGAAUUGACGGGGGCCCGCACAAGCGGUGGAGCAUGUGGUUUAAUUCGAUGCAACGCGAAGAACCUUACCUACUCUUGACAUCCAGAGAACUUUCCAGAGAUGGAUUGGUGCCUUCGGGAACUUUGAGACAGGUGCUGCAUGGCUGUCGUCAGCUCGUGUUGUGAAAUGUUGGGUUAAGUCCCGCAACGAGCGCAACCCUUAUCCUUGUUUGCCAGCGAGUAAUGUCGGGAACUCCAGGGAGACUGCCGGUGAUAAACCGGAGGAAGGUGGGGACGACGUCAAGUCAUCAUGGCCCUUACGAGUAGGGCUACACACGUGCUACAAUGGCGCAUACAGAGGGCGGCCAACUUGCGAGAGUGAGCGAAUCCCAAAAAGUGCGUCGUAGUCCGGAUCGGAGUCUGCAACUCGGACUCCGUGGAAGUCGGGAAUCGCUAGUAAUCGUGAUCAGAAUGCCNNNUNGNGNNNG